rnacentral:lncRNA from 1 species
GCUGAGCUGCUUUGUGAGGGAGUAACAUCUCCAUGACAGCAAGGUGCAAGCGGAGAUAAGACAACCACCUGGGUCAGGAACUUGUAGAGAGGAUUCCUACAUGGAGUGGGAGACUGAAAUAAUAACCUCAAAGAUGCCUUCCAAUCAGAAGAUUUGGUGAUUCUUUCUGAGUUAUCAAACUGCCUUCCUUUGACCUUGCUCACAUGUAGAAAUCCAAGUCAGCGCAGCUUAACUUGGACUCACCACCUAUCAAGUGCUCGACAGCCACGUGUGCAGUGGUUCCUACGUGGAGCAGCAUACAUCCAGAGAUGCAAAUAUUAAUGAGGACAGUGCUAGUAACAGAGUUGCUGAGCAAUCUAUGUCCCCUUGUAAGAACCAGUGCCCCAGGGGAAGAAACAGAACUCCACAAGGUAGCAGUGUGGGUGUAGUACCCGCAUGUGCCCAUGUUAUGGGAAUGUAGAUGGGGAGUGACCACCGCCAACAGAAGUGUGGCCAUCUUGCCCGAGAUGCCUGAGGACCUCCUAUUUUUAGAUGCUGCUGCCCAAGGCCUGUAUUUCAUGCUAUGGCUUUUGUCAUUUGAAUUAUCAGUAGCUGUCUCGGAGCUAUUACGCUUCACUGGGCCCUGGAGGAUAUUGUCUUAUACAGUCCACUGGGUUUUGGAUAUGCAGUCUGUGCCUUUCAUUGCCUUCCUGGAAAAUAAUAACUAAACUCUUCCUCACCAGG